rnacentral:rRNA from 1 species
UACGAGAGGCCCAAACGUUAUUCGGAAUUACUGGGCUUAAAGAGUUCGUAGGCGGCGCAGAAAGUAGGGUGUGAAAGCCCUCGGCUCAACCGAGGAAUUGCGCUCUAAACUACUGUGCUUGAGGAAUCUAGAGGUGAGCGGAACUGAUGGUGGAGCGGUGAAAUGCGUUGAUAUCAUCAGGAACACCGGAGGCGAAGGCGGCUCACUGGGGAUUUUCUGACGCUGAGGAACGAAAGCUAGGGUAGCGAACGGG